GACGAACGCUGGCGGCGUGCUUAACACAUGCAAGUCGAACGGGAUUUAGUAAACAGAAACCUCGGUGGAAGAUUACUAAUGAGAGUGGCGAACGGGUGAGUAACGCGUGAGCAACCUGCCUAUGACAGUGGGAUAGCCUCGGGAAACCGGGAUUAAUACCGCAUAAAAUCGUAGAAACACAUGUUUUAACGGUCAAAGAUUUAUCGGUCAUAGAUGGGCUCGCGUCUGAUUAGCUAGUUGGUGAGAUAACAGCCCACCAAGGCGACGAUCAGUAGCCGGUCUGAGAGGAUGAACAGCCACAUUGGAACUGAGACACGGUCCAAACUCCUACGGGAGGCAGCAGUGGGGAAUAUUGCACAAUGGGGGAAACCCUGAUGCAGCGACGCCGCGUGAACGAAGAAGGUAUUCGUAUCGUAAAGUUCUGUCCUAUGGGAAGAUAAUGACAGUACCAUAGAAGAAAGCUCCGGCUAAAUACGUG
rnacentral:rRNA from 1 species